ACGGGAUCAGUUGUAGCAAUACGACUGUGAGAGUGGCGCACGGGUGCGUAACACGUAUGCAACCUACCUUAAACUGGGGAAUAGCCCCUCGAAAGGGGGAUUAAUACCGCAUAACGAGGCGUGUAGGCAUCUACACUCCUCUAAAACUCCGGUGGUUUAAGAUGGGCAUGCGGCUGAUUAGCUAGUUGGCGAGGUAAUGGCUCACCAAGGCUACGAUCAGUAGGGGGUCUGAGAGGAUGUCCCCCCACACUGGUACUGAGACACGGACCAGACUCCUACGGGAGGCAGCAGUAGGGAAUAUUGGACAAUGGGGGAAACCCUGAUCCAGCCAUGCCGCGUGCAGGAUGACUGCCCUAUGGGUUGUAAACUGCUUUUGUACGGGAAGAAACCACAUUACGUGUAAUGUGUUGACGGUACCGUGAGAAUAAGGAUCGGCUAACUUCGUGCCAGCAGCCGCGGUAAUACGAAGGAUCCUAGCGUUGUCCGGAUUUACUGGGUUUAAAGGGUGCGUAGGCGGACUUUUAAGUCAGUGGUGAAAGCCUGCAGCUUAACUGUAGAAUUGCCAUUGAAACUGAAAGUCUCGAGUGUGGUUGAGGUAGCUGGAAUGUAUCAUGUAGCGGUGAAAUGCUUAGAUAUGAUACAGAACUCCAAUUGCGAAGGCAGGCUACUAAACCAUAACUGACGCUGAGGCACGAAAGCGUGGGGAUCAAACAGGAUUAGAUACCCUGGUAGUCCACGCCCUAAACGUUGCAUACUCGGUUUUGGCGAUAUACAGUCAGGACCCAAGCGAAAGCGUUAAGUAUGCCACCUGGGAAGUACGAUCGCAAGAUUGAAACUCAAAGGAAUUGACGGGGGCCCGCACAAGCGGAGGAGCAUGUGGUUUAAUUCGAUGAUACGCGAGGAACCUUACCUGGGCUUGAAUGUGAGUGACCGCUGCCGAAA
rnacentral:rRNA from 1 species